GAUGAAGAACGCAGCAAAAUGCGAUAAGUAAUGUGAAUUGCAGAAUUCAGUGAAUCAUCGAAUCUUUGAACGCACAUUGUGCCCGCUGGUAUUCCGGCGGGCAUGCCUGUUCGAGCGUCAUUUCAACCCUCAAGCCCCCGGGUUUGGUGUUGGGGAUCGGCUCUGCCCUUCUGGGCGGUGCCGCCCCCGAAAUACAUUGGCGGUCCCGCUGCAGCCUCCAUUGCGUAGUAGCUAACACCUCGCAACUGGAACGCGGCGCGGCCAUGCCGUAAAACCCCAACUUCUGAAUGUUGACCUCGGAUCAGGUAGGAAUACCCGCUGAACUUAAGCAUAUCAAUAAGCGGAGGA
rnacentral:misc_RNA from 1 species